UACGGAGGAUCCGAGCGUUAUCCGGAUUUAUUGGGUUUAAAGGGUGCGUAGGCGGCCUAUUAAGUCAGGGGUGAAAGACGGUAGCUUAACUAUCGCAGUGCCUUUGAUACUGAUAGGCUUGAACGUACUUGAGGUAGGCGGAAUGUGACAAGUAGUGGUGAAAUGCAUAGAUAUGUCACAGAACACCAAUUGCGAAGGCAGCUUACUAAAGUAUGAUUGACGCUGAGGCACGAAAGCGUGGGGAUCAAACAGG
rnacentral:rRNA from 1 species